ensembl:snoRNA SNORA70 Small nucleolar RNA SNORA70
CUGCAUUUUCGCCUCCCUGAUGAAGUUCAGGGUACAGUGGCUGGAAAAAAGCAAGAUUCCCUGGUUAUGCAUGCAGCUCAACUGUCUUAUGUGUUGCUUUAAGGGACCUUGAAGACAUUU